AUAGCGAGUUAUUUUCAAGGGUUUUUUUAAGGAAUUAUGACUACCAACUAAGACCCAUUCAUUUUUUCUUGGAUUUGAUUCGCCCUUGUACUAUUGUCCUUCUCCUACACACACAGAGAUAAUAGAGUGUCACAUACUCACCCACAGAGAAGAGAGAGAGUGUGGAGAGAGAGGGAGGGAGGGAGGAGAGAGGGUAGCUCUCUCAUCAAAUCUCGCCUACAGAAGAAGAUCAUCCUCUCCUGCUGCUUCAUGCUUCUCCUUCUUAUGAUUUCUGGGCCUGUCGGCACCGCCACUUUUGUAAAUAAGGCAAGGAUUAUUUUUAAUUGAAGCCAAAUUGAAAUGGAAGGUGGUAUGUUUACAGGUAUAGGAAAUGGAACACAACUAGAGACCAAAGUUGUGCAAACAUUCCAGAAGAGCUUUGUGCAGGUGCAAGACAUUUUGGAUCAGAACCGGUUGCUAAGUAACGAGAUUAACCAAAACCACGAGUUGAUGAUCCCUAAUAACCUCAGCUGGAAUGUUGGCUUAAUUAGAGAGCUUAACAACAACAUUAAAAGGGUGGUAGAUCUAUAUGCUGAUCUCUCUGGAUCUUUUUAUUCUAGACUAUCAAGCCGACAUUUGAUUUGGUUUUUAUCUUUUCUUGAUGGUUUUCAUAAUCAUUUUUGGAUAUAUUAUCUGUUUGUUGUGGGGAACUUUCGAUUACCUGCUUUAUUCUUUUCCCAUGUUUGUCAAAAAAAUAUUUCCUGUGGUGUCCCUUCCCUAGUUAAGGAUAACAAUGGAGGAUUGGUAUAUUCUGUUAGCAAACUUAGUAUGUUUAGAGAAGUUUCCUGUGUAAAAUUCCUUGAGCUUGUUUACAUAGUGAGUAUGCUUUUGGGAUAAAUAGAAGAAAGCAGUCCUGAAAUUUUACUUUUGUUGAUUAGUUUUAUAUGAAAGCACUUCAAGGGACAGAAAGAUGAUCAAACAAUAGAAAUGUAGGGCCCAAUUGUUCAUUCUUUUUUAGUGGUGGAAUGGAAAUGGUUUCAACCUUGAUUGGCUACCUUUUGCUCA